GUAGUCAUAUGCUUGUCUCAAAGAUUAAGCCAUGCAUGUCUAUGCACAAGCCGAUUAAUGGUGAAGCCGCGAAUGGCUCAUUACAACAGCCACUGUUUACUUGAUCUUGACUAUCCUACUUGGAUAACUGUGGUAAUUCUAGAGCUAAUACACGCAAUAAAGCUCCGACCUUACGGGACGAGCGCAUUUAUUAGACCAAAACCAAUCGGGCUUCGGCCUGAGCCGUUGGUGACUCUGAAUAACUGAGCUGAUCGCAUGGUCUUUGUACCGGCGACGCAUCUUUCAAGUGUCUGCCUUAUCAACUUUCGAUGGUAGUUUAUGUGCCUACCAUGGUUGUUACGGGUAACGGAGAAUAAGGGUUCGACUCCGGAGAGGGAGCCUGAGAAACGGCUACCACAUCCAAGGAAGGCAGCAGGCGCGCAAAUUACCCACUCUCGGCACGAGGAGGUAGUGACGAAAAAUAACGAGGCGGUUCUCUAUGAGGCCCGCUAUCGGAAUGGGUACAAUUUAAACCCUUUAACGAGGACCUAUGAGGGGGCAAGUCUGGUGCCAGCAGCC
rnacentral:rRNA from 1 species